UACGUAGGGUGCAAGCGUUAAUCGGAAUUACUGGGCGUAAAGCGUGCGCAGGCGGCUUUGCAAGACAGAUGUGAAAUCCCCGGGCUCAACCUGGGAACUGCAUUUGUGACUGCAUGGCUAGAGUGCGGCAGAGGGGGAUGGAAUUCCGCGUGUAGCAGUGAAAUGCGUAGAUAUGCGGAGGAACACCGAUGGCGAAGGCAAUCCCCUGGGCCUGCACUGACGCUUAUGCACGAAAGCGUGGGGAGCAAACAGG
rnacentral:rRNA from 1 species